ACGAACUGCUGCGGCGUGGAUAAUAAGACAUGCAAGUUCGAACGAGACUUUUCUUUGGUAGCAAUACCGAAAGAAAGUUUAGUGGCGAAACGGGUGCGUAACACGUGGGGCAAUCUGCCGAGAAGUGGGGGGAUUAGCUCGCCGAAAAAGGCGAAUUUAAUUACCGCAUGUGGUCAGGGAAGACAUAUCUUUCCAACACCAGAGCCCGGGGCAACCUGGCGCUUCCUGAUGAGCCCGCGGCCUAUCAGCUAGUUGGUGAGGUAACGGCUCACCAAGGCGGUGGACGGGUAGCUGGUCUGAGAGGGACGACCAGCCACACUGGAACUGGAGACACGGUCCAGACACACUACGGGUGGCAGCAGUCGAGAAUUUUUUCUCAAUGGGGGGAAACCCUGAAGGGAGCGACGCCGCGGUGGAGGGAUGAAGGCUUUCGGGUUGUAAAAACUCCUGUCAUUUGGGAACAAUACUAUUCGAUUAACUGUCGAGUAGUUGAUAGUACCAGAAGAGGAAGAGAACGGCCUAACUCUGUGCCAGCAGCCGCGGUAAAUAACAGAGGUCUCAAAGCGGUUGUUCGGAUUCAUUGGGCGUAAAGGGGUGCGUAGGUGGCGCCGUAAGUGGGGUGUGAAAUUUCGGGAGCUUAACUCCGAAACUGCAAUUCCAGACUGCGGUGCUUGAGGACUGGAGAGGAGAACUGGAAUUCAUGGUGUAGCAGUGAAAUGCGUAGAGAAUCAUGAGGGAAGACCAGUGGCGAAGGCGGGUCUCUGGACAGUUCCUGACAACUGAGGCACGAAGGCCAGGGGAGCAAACGGGAUUAGAUACCCCCGGUAGUCCUGGCAGUAAAACGGUGCACGUUUGGUGUGGGAGGGAUUCGACCCCCUUCCGCGCCGGAAGGCUAAACGCGUUUAAAAACGUGCCGCCUGGGGAGUACCGGUCGCAAGAUUAAAACUCAAAGAAAAUUGACGGGGGCCCGCACACAAGCGGGUGGAGUAUGUGGCUUAAUUCGAUGCAACGCGAAGAACCUUACCUGGGCCUUGACAUGCAUUGCUAAGCUGGUGGAAAGCCAGUGAGGUGUCGAAAGACCACACCUUGCCACAGGUGCUGCAUGGCUGUCGUCAAGCUCGUGGUCGUGAAGAUGUUUGGGUUAAGUCCCGCAACGAGCGCAACCCCUGUGAACUGUUGCCACGUCCUUGAUUGGACAGCACUCCUGUUCAGACUGGCCCCUGUGGAAACGGGGAGGAAGGUGGGGACGACGUCCAAGUCAGUAUGGCCCUUACGGCCAGGGCUGCACACCGUACUACAAUGCCCAGUAACAGAACGAUCCGAGACCGCGAGGUGGGAGGAAAUCCAGUUAAAAAACUGGGCUCAGUUCGGAUUGAAGGCUGCAAACCUCGCCUUCAUGAAGCCGGAAAUCGCUAGUAAUGGCGCAAUCAGCUACGGCGCCGUGAAUACGUUUCCCGGGCCUUGUACACACCGCCCGUCACAUCAUGGAAGUUGCUUGUAGCCGAAGUCGGCACGCUAACCCCGCAAGGGAGGCAGCCCGCCUACGCUAUGAGCAGUAACAGGGAUG
rnacentral:rRNA from 1 species